AUGGAGACCGUUCCCCCAGACGUCACAGUUUUCUUAUCUUCUGGAGGACUAGGACCAGCUCUCUCUCUGUCUCUUAGCAUGAACAGGUACAUUACCAGUAUCGUUUUCAAAACAGUUUUGUGGAAUGACUGUGAGUUCCUAACCUUGGCAUAUUGUUUCCCGUAUUCCGGCAUGUCCAUGAAGCUAUGCACAUCUAGUACCAUGAAUGGAAAAAAAAAACAACAGCACAGCUUACUAUAAAAAUAGUGUUAUUUAAAUUACAUUUUAGAUUUGCUUUUGUUCCAUUUCAUUUACUGCCAGCUUGCAUUUUGUUUUAGAUCCUCCACUCAGAGGGGACUCGGGCACGUCUAUAGGAGGCUUUAAGAGCAGAGUUACAGAUGUUUUCAGUCUGUGUUUAUUAAGCAUGGACCGCUACUUGAGGAUGGCUCUGGGCAAACAUGAAGUUGCCGGAACACAAAGGUUGCACCAUACGCAAAGCAUCAUGCCUCUGCCCGCACUUUCUUUGCUUUCUAACAGUUUGGAGCCAAUAGCUUAGAACACAAUGACUGUUAAAGUUGGCUUUACAAGUCAGUGAAAGGGGAAAAUUUAUCAGAUGAUAAACUUUUAUAGUUCCUGUUCAUGGCAUGGUUGGCAAAGGAAUAAUUAAAUUCAACAACAUACUCUUUUUCCUCAGUCUAUUUUCUUUCAACCCAAGGCCACCUAAAUGCCCAACUAAAUCAGUUAGCUACAGAUGCAAAAAGUUUUAUCCCUGCAUGACAGUUAUUUGUGCACUAUCUUGAAAAAUUGUAAAUAUUUUCAUGGAAUAUCAGUCUGUUCUUGAUGCUGCCAUUUGUCAGGGCUUUGAGGCCUGUGUUUGAACGGAAGCAGUGAACCUUUCCAGGGCAGAGAACAAUCAGAGAAACCAUAUCCUGUUGACUUUGCCUUGUGGUUAUGGAGAGAGAGGAAGAGACAGGUGUAACAGUAACUGUUUUGCAAACCACAUUUGGAGAGGGGACCAAUUCCUUUCUCUACUUACUGCAAAUGCAUCCUGUGUAGACAUUUAUUUAUAAUAUUUAUGCUGUUUUAAUUUUCUGCACAAUUUCAAUUGUAUACCAUUGUAUGCCAGCUUUGUAUCUGGAUUCAGGUAUUUGGUUCAAAAAUAGUAUAAUUCAUAAGUACAUUUUGUUUUUAAAAAUCAUCAAGCCAAAUUCUGUAAAUACUUGUAAAUCUGACAAAUUUCUGAGGAGGUAUAGAAAAUGCC
ensembl:lncRNA